rnacentral:rRNA from 1 species
CCUACGGGGGGCAGCAGUGAGGAAUAUUGGUCAAUGGACGCAAGUCUGAACCAGCCAUGCCGCGUGCAGGAAGACGGCUCUAUGAGUUGAAAACUGCUUUUGUACGAGGGUAAACUCAGAUACGCGUAUCUGUCUGACAGUAUCGUACGAAUAAGGAUCGGCUAACUCCGUGCCAGCAGCCGCGGUAAUACGGAGGAUUCAAGCGUUAUCCGGAUUUAUUGGGUUUAAAGGGUGCGUAGGCGGUCGGAUAAGUUAGAGGUGAAAUCCCGAGGCUCAACUUCGGAAUUGCCUCUGAUACUGUGCGGCUAGAGAGCAGUUGCGGUAGGCGGAAUGUAUGGUGUAGCGGUGAAAUGCUUAGAGAUCAUACAGAACACCGAUUGCGAAGGCAGCUUACCAAGCUACUUCUGACGUUGAGGCACGAAAGCGUGGGGAGCAAACAGGAUUAGAUACCCUUGUAGUC